CUUUGCUAAAGAGUCUUCUGAAAUCCACAACAGUUCCUGUAACUUUAAACCUGGGCUGAGAUCAUAAUUUUAGUACUGACCAAACAGAGUGUGGAGGGCGGGCCCGACUCUUCUUUUUGAGACCACCUUAGACAUGCUCCCACCCCUUAGCUAAAGGAAAAAUGCUGACUCCACUCAGUUACUUUUCUUUAGCUGUAUAGUUAUCAUCUGGAAAAACCUUCCUUGCGUUAAAGGAAUAUUUCAAAUACCAAAGUAUUUUCUGCAGUGACUUUUUUUGUGAACUCAACUCUCUCCCGCCUCUAAAAAAAAUUGACUCCAUCUGGUCUCGGGAUCGGAAAGCUAAUCUCUAACCAUAGCAAAGAUGUUUAUUAAAAUUCAGAUCAUCAUCUUCGUGCUAGGGAGCAUGCCUUUCAUAGCACUUGCUGAAGAAGCAAGCUCAGUUCUAGAAGAAGAAAGUGCAACAAUUGAUUUCAGAGACAGAAAUGACACAGAGUUUGAAGAAUCACCAACCCUGCUGCCCACAAGUCUACACAGCGUAACAAAUCUCUUGGAGUUUGGAGAACUGAUGACCACAGAAAAUAUAGUUGUCUCAAGUGAAGAUGGUGAGAAUUCUACUGAUUAUGAAGCUACCACUGAAAGCGAAGGUGGUCGAGGUAAAGAACCAGAGGCAACUGAGAAAGGUGGUCUGGAAACAAUUGCACUUGCUGGAAUCAUCACUGGAAUCAUAGUAGCAGUUGGAAUACUUGCAGGAAUCAUAAUCGCUGUUGUAAGGAAAAUGUCAGGCAGACCCUAAAAAUAGUUGAAACAAGCAAUCAUGCCAUUUUCUGCCAGUAAAUAAAAGCACCUCUUACUUUAUAAGCA
rnacentral:lncRNA from 1 species